rnacentral:rRNA from 1 species
GACGAACCGUGCGAACGUUGUUCGGAAUCACUGGGCUUAAAGGGCGCGUAGGCGGGCGAUCAAGUCAGAGGUGAAAUCCCACGGCUCAACCGUGGAAGUGCCCCUGAUACUGGUUGUCUCGAGGGAGAUAGGGGCGUGCGGAACUUUUGGUGGAGCGGUGAAAUGCGUAGAUAUCAAAAGGAACACCGGUGGCGAAAGCGGCGCGCUGGAUCUCUACUGACGCUGAGGCGCGAAAGCCAGGGGAGCGAACGGG